rnacentral:lncRNA from 1 species
UGAGUGCAUGCAAUAGAAACCUGUAGACAACACUAACUCAUAUGCUGAAAAGAAAUGAAGAAAAAACCUUGACUAUGUUAUAAAUCUAGAGGAAUUGGAGAGAGGGAAUUGGGAUAGAUCAAGCAUAGAAAUCUGAUGUUUUCAUUCUUCAGUAUAUCUGAAAUGUGUAUAUUCAGUAGGGAAGGGGGGAAGCCUUUUAUAGGCAUUUGGGGACUCCACAACUCCACAUUUAC